GCCCGGCCCCCUUGUUGACGUCACCGUCCCUCACUCGGCAAACUUCUCGAUAUCUCCGGCCCUUGUGAACCCAGCCCCGCACCGUCCGGCAAGAGCUUCACUUUUCCCGGAUGGACAAAGAGUGUGUAUAUUGGACCCUACUGCCCUCAGAGGUGCGGCGUUUGGGAGAGUUGAAGAAUGAAAAAGACUCCCUUAAAGACUUCCCAUCCUCAUGGAAAUGUCAGCAUGGUGGACACACCCGACUUCUGACCAUCGUGUGAAGGCCACCAGGACCACUCUGGGCUUCCAAGGGCGCGUGCUUGGACAUUCCCCACCGGAACGGGGGCGUGCAAUCACAAAGCUUUGGAUACCUCCCAGCCCAAACUCUGCCGCAUGUUUUCCUGCUCUCAUUUUUCUGUUUUAAUCUGUGUAAUGGGUUGAAUGACGUGCCCCUCUCCAACCCGCGAUGAGUCCACCUGAGAUCUGUGAAUGGGAACUUAUUUGGAAAAAGGGUCUUUGCAGAUAUAAUUAAGGUUAGGCUCUCGAGAUGAUGUCACUGUGGAUUAUCCAAGUGGUCCCUAAACCCAAUGUCAAGCGUCUUUACAAGAGAAAGGCAGUGGGAGGGGGGAGGAGAUUCCCUGGAGGUCCAGGGGUUGGGACUCACGCCUCCGCUGCAGGGGGCACAGGUUCAAUUCCUGGUCACGGAACUGAGAUCCUGGAUGCCGUGCAGCAUGGUCAAAAAUAAACAAACAACAGAUGUGUAAGAUCUGUACACUGAAAGCUAAUAAAACGUUGCUGAGAGAAAUUAGGGAAGACCUACAUAAAUGGAGAAGUAGAUAAUAAAAGAGAGAAAGAGAGAGACCAGCAGAGGGAAACUAGAGAGGGUUAGAGAUGUGGUCACGUGAAAAUAGGGAGAGAUGAGACUGAUUGAGUCACAAGCCCAGGAACACCUGGGGCGACCAGAAGCUGGAAGAGGCAGGAAAGGAUCUUCCCCUAGAAAAUUCAGAGGGUGGUCUAAUGGUGAAGAAUUUGCCUGCCAAUGCAGGGGACCUGGGAUCAAUCCCUAGUCCAGGAAAAUUCCACAUGCCUCGGAGCAACGAAGCCCGAGUGCCACAACUGCUGAGUCAUGAAUCGAGAGCCUGUGCUACCUGAUGAGAAGCCCAAGCACCUCAACAAAGAGCUGCCCCCACUGGCCGGAACUAGAGAAAGUCCGAGCACAGCGACGGAA